rnacentral:rRNA from 1 species
UUCCAGACUCCUACGGGAGGCAGCAGUGAGGAAUAUUGGUCAAUGGGCGCGAGCCUGAACCAGCCAAGUCGCGUGAGGGAAGACGGCCCUACGGGUUGUAAACCUCUUUUGUCGGGGAGCAAAGCGAACCACGUGUGGUUCAUUGAGAGUACCCGAAGAAAAAGCAUCGGCUAACUCCGUGCCAGCAGCCGCGGUAAUACGGAGGAUGCGAGCGUUAUCCGGAUUUAUUGGGUUUAAAGGGUGCGCAGGCGGAGGUGCAAGUCAGGGGUCAAAUUGCGGGGCUCAACCCCGUACUGCCGUUGAAACUGAUGUUCUUGAGUGGGCGAGAAGUAUGCGGAAUGCGUGGUGUAGCGGUGAAAUGCAUAGAUAUCACGCAGAACUCCGAUUGCGAAGGCAGCAUACCGGGGCCCAACUGACGCUGAAGCACGAAAGCGUGGGUAUCGAACAGGAUUAGAUACCCCAGUAGG